rnacentral:rRNA from 1 species
AUUGAACGCUGGCGGCAGGCCUAACACAUGCAAGUCGAGCGGAGCGGCGGACGGGUGAGUAAUGCAUAGGAAUGUGCCUGGUAGUGGGGGAUAACGUCCGGCAACGGGCGCUAAUACAGCAUACUAGCAGAUGAGCAUAGGUCGGAGUAGAUAGUUGGUGGGGUAAGGGCCUACAAAGGGGACGAUCCGUAACUGGUCGGAGAGGAUGACCAGUCACACUGGAACUGAGACACGGUCCAGACUCCUACGGGAGUCAGCAUUGGUGAAUAUUGGACAAUGGGCGAAAGCCUGAUCCAGCCAUGCCGCGUGUGUGAAGAAGGUCUUCGGAUUGUAAAGCACUUUAAGUUGGUAGGCUUUACCAACAGAAUAAGCACCGGCUAACUUCGUGCCAGCAGCCGCGGUAAUAC